rnacentral:lncRNA from 1 species
AUCUGAAGAGAUGCAGUGAUUCACCUGAAGAACCAACCAGAACAAAAGAUCGACCGCAUCAAAAAGUCGAGCUCAUCAGAAGGGCUUAUAAGAAAGUCGAGCUCAUCGAAAAGCUGUCCUCAUUAGGAGGCUAAAAUCAUCAAAAAACUGACCUCAUCAGGAGGUCGAGAUCAUGAGAAGGCCAAGAUCAUAAGGAGGUCUUCCUUAUCAGAAGGC